rnacentral:rRNA from 1 species
GAUGAACGCUGGCGGCGUGCCUAAUACAUGCAAGUCGAGCGAACGGACGAGAAGCUUUCUUUUCUGAUGUUAGCGGCGGACGGGUGAGUAACACGUGGAUAACCUACCUAUAAGACUGGGAUAACUUCGGGAAACCGGAUCUAAUACCGGAUAAUAUUUUGAACCGCAUGGUUCAAAAGUUAAAGACGGUCUUGCUGUCACUUAUAGAUGGAUCCGCGCUGCAUUAGCUAGUUGGUAAGGUAACGGCUUACCAAGGCAACGAUGCAUAGCCGACCUGAGAGGGUGAUCGGACACACUGGAACUGAGACACGGUACAGACUCCUACGGGAGGCAGCAGUAGGGAAUCUUACGCAAUGGGCGAAAGCCUGACGGAGCAAAGCCGCGUGAGUGAUGAAGGUCUUCGGAUCGGAAAACUCUGUUAUUAGGGAAGAACAUAUGUGUAAGUAACUGUGCACAUAUUGACGGUACCUAAUCAGAAAGCCACGGCUAACUACGUG